rnacentral:lncRNA from 13 species
AUGAAUUAUGAGGGCAAAUAUUGUGUUUUAUCUUUUUAUCCAUUAGAACCAGAUUUUCGAGAUUCUUCUAGUUGUUCUGCAGUCACGAGUUAUGUGUAUUUGCAAAUCCUUCUUAAGUCUAAUGAGCAGAACAUAACUACUGCUGGCUUAUCUGCCUAUACCAUCGAGUUGCUCAAACCAGGAGAGAGAGAUAAGAAAAUUGCAGCUGAUGGAGUUACUGGCUAACGUCAGUAUGGAACUGAGACUUGAAGCCAGGCCUCCUGAAAUCAGAUGCUUCUUUCUGGUAUAGUGGACACUAUCUGAAAUGACAAAUGAUAUAUUUUAUAGGGAACAUGAGUUGGUGUCAAGGAGAUCUGCAGAAGUGGUAUAUGGAAAAACAUCUCCAAGUAUAUAAUGUGAAGAUAUCUGCAUCUUAUGUAAGUACUCCGCAAAAAGCCUUCUUAACAGAGGGGAUCUUAGUAACAGGAUGGUCGAGAUAACUUGUUUUGUGGAUGUCAGUCACCAGUCACCUUGUUUGUGCCCAAUAAGCACAUGAAUGAAAUGUUCAUUGGUUCAGCAAACUGAGCUUUUACUUAUGAAUGACAAUAUUGUUAGAACUAUUUCUGAGUGCCCCACCUGCCAAUAGAACAGGUCAACAUUUUGUUCUAGUAUGGAAUUAUUCUCCAGGGGGACAAGCCAGUGACCUCUUGGCAGAUUGAUUAUACUGGGUAACUUCUAUAAUGGAAGAGACAGUGCUUUCUUUUUUUCUUUCUGGAACAGAUAUUCUGGCUACAAUUUUGUUUCUCCUGCCCACAAUGCUUCUUAUAAAACCAUCAUCCUUGAACUUACAGAUGCCAUAUUCACUGUCAUAGUUCACAUAGCAUUGUUUUUGACAUGGAAAUUAAGUUCACAGCAAAUAAAAUGUGGCAUUGGCUCA